rnacentral:lncRNA from 1 species
GUUGAAUUAGUUAUUAUAAUUACAAUAACUCUUAUUUUAAAAUCUAAUAAGUAUCACUUAUCAAAUAAAAAAAAAGUACUGCCAGACAACUACGUUUCAAGAGCAAAACUUAUAUGGGAAUGGAGUACUAUACAUAUAUACUAAUAUUAAUGAUAUCCUUAAAUAGUAUGAAAGUUGACCGGACUUUGUCCGACCUAAAGAAUGAUUUCGUUCUUCUUCCCACAUUAUUUUCCUUAUCUGAUUUCUUUCUUUUUUUUUUUUUUUUUUUUUUUUUUUUGCGUGACAUCUGUGUAAUACACUUUGUGGCGAUAAAUUGCUCCAGAGGAUGUCAAGGCAUUGUAUCUAUGAUCAAAUAUAAGUAUAAUGCACUCGGUCCUUUCCUAAAUUUAUAAUUGGUUAAUUUCUGCAGGUUUCCCAUUUAUAUAAAUAUUUGAAAUGCUAUAUAUUGGCAAGUUUUAAAUUAAUGAAUUUUUGAUUAUGUAAAGUUUUUUUUUUUUUUUUAAAAAUUAAUAAAUAAUUAUUACUGUG